rnacentral:rRNA from 1 species
GACAGAGGUGCCGAGCGUUAGGCGGAAUCACUGGGCUUAAAGCGUGUGUAGGCGGGCGGGCAAGUACCUUGUGAAAUCCCACGGCUCAACCGUGGAACGGCUGGGUAUACUGCCUGUCUUGAGCCAACUAGGGGCGAGCGGAACAGACGGUGGAGCGGUGAAAUGCGUAGAUAUCGUCUGGAACGCCAAAGGUGAAAACAGCUCGCUGGGGUUGUGCUGACGCUGAGACACGAAAGCGUGGGGAGCGAACGGG